CCGACAUGAAGGCAGGAGUUAUAAGCAGCUCAGUGAUAAGAAAUGAUAAAGCAAUUGCUUUCGAUGAUGAUGACGAGGAUAACCAACCCAUUGGCAAGAGAAUCCACAUCAAAACCCAGAAAAGCAAACCACAACAGCAAAAAGGGACAGCAGGGGAGAACAUCGCAACAAGCCUCCCGAAAAUAUCAAAGAAACCAACUGAGACGCACCCUGACAUCUUAUCGCAGCGAGAUCCGGAGUGCGAAAGACUAUGGGCAAAAAUCGAACGAUGUUACCCAUUGAGAGCCAUUAGCAUCGACCCGAUACAAACAAUUAUUCCAAAAGGGUCUUCAGUCCGCACACCGAGUCCACCACGCCCAUCAUUCUCACUUGGAAUGACGCAGAUCUUCAAAACACCCAUACCAUCCUCCCUCGACCCAUUCAUCCGUUACUAAAGGGACGAAAAAUCACUGAGCGGGACGAACAAAGAAUUAGAGGAUGGGCUGUGAACAGAUCCCUUGAUAGUAAGCAAAAAGUCGCGUCGUAUGAGGGUAGACCACACUUAGUACUGAGAAGGGAGGACUUGUACACCCUGAGGCCACGUGCUUGGCUCAAUAACAAUGUCAUGCACUGGAUGUGUUGCGCAUUCAAUGACUCAGGGUUAAGAAGAUUCACGCAUGACUUAUACUGCGUGUGUCCAGGGAUACUGAAAACGGUGUUGGUCGAAAGGAAUGUAUUGCAGUUUCAGAACGGUCCAACUCCGGUGUAUGUGGGUUUGGGAAAAAACUUUGGUGUUGAUACUAGGUAUUUUGAUAAGGUAACAGCUUCAAAGAGAAAAUGG